rnacentral:rRNA from 1 species
GAUGAAGANCGCAGCGAAAUGNGAUAAGAAAUGUGAAUUGCAGAUCUCAGUGAAUCAUCGAAUCUUUGAACGCACCUUGCGCCCUUUGGUAUUCCAAAGGGCAUGCCUGUUUGAGUGUCAUUAAAUUCUCAAAGUUUAUGUUUUUAAGCUUUGGAUUUGAAGAUUGCUGGCUUACUCCAGAGUCAGCUUCUUUGAAAUGCAUUAGUAGGAUCAUCAUGCUGGAUCGAUACAGGUGUGAUAAGUUAUCACCAUCUGAGAUUAGGCAAGAACUUGCUCAUAACUCUUUCUUUGAUCUUUGACCUCAAAUCAGGUAAGACUACCNGCUGAACUUAAGCAUAUCAAUAAGCGGAGGAA